AACGAACGCUGGCGGCGUGGAUAAGACAUGCAAGUCGAACGGGGAACUUACUUAGCUUGCUUUGAAAGUUCCUAGUGGCGAACGGGUGAGUAACACGUGAGUUACCUGCCCCGAAGUGGGAGAUAGCCCGGGGAAACUCGGAUUAAUACCCCAUGUGAUCGUAAGAUUAAAGGCGGCUUCGGCUGUCGCUUCGGGAUGGGCUCGCGGCCUAUCAGCUUGUUGGUGAGGUAAAGGCUCACCAAGGCGAUGACGGGUAGCUGGUCUGAGAGGACGAUCAGUCACACUGGAACUGAGACACGGUCCAGACACCUACGGGUGGCAGCAGUCGAGAAUCAUUCGCAAUGGACGAAAGUCUGACGGUGCGACGCCGCGUGGAGGAUGAAGGCCCUAGGGUCGUAAACUCCUGUCAUCAGGGAGUAAUUACUUAUGUAGUAACUGACAUGGGUCUUGAUAGUACCUGAAGAGGAAGGGACGGCAAACUUCG
rnacentral:rRNA from 1 species